GGACGGGUGAGUAACGCGUGGGUAACCUGCCUUAUACAGGGGGAUAACAGUCAGAAAUGGCUGCUAAUACCGCAUAAGCGCACAGAGCUGCAAGGCUCAGUGUGAAAAACUCCGGUGGUAUAAGAUGGACCCGCGUUGGAUUAGCUUGUUGGUGGGGUAACGGCCCACCAAGGCGACGAUCCAUAGCCGGCCUGAGAGGGUGAACGGCCACAUUGGGACUGAGACACGGCCCAGACUCCUACGGGAGGCAGCAUG
rnacentral:rRNA from 1 species